UAAAACAAUGUUUAUUGUUAAGAGAAUGAGAAAUAUAUAUUGCCGGAUCAAGGACGUUUAUUUCAGUAUGUUAGAGUUUGGACCUACCUAAGUAGCGUUUGUAAAUACGUGAGUUCAUACAUGGAAAUAGCUACUGAAGAAAAUAUUUUGUGAGUUUAACUUAGAAAAACAAGAGAAUUGUAAGACGAGUUUCUCUGUAUAUAGAACGCAUUUAAAGUAUACAGUGGUUUAGGAUUUAAUGAUGAUGUCUGAAUGCAGCAGUGAUCUUGUUAUCUCGCAACAGCAUGCAGCACGCCCACCGCCAAUAGCACUAGGAAUCAACGUGGAAAAGCCAAAAUUCCCUCAAUAUGCCGUGUUUGCCGAACGUUUUAAAUCUUUCAGAGAAUGGCCAAAAUAUUUACCAGUAGACAAGCUAGAUCUGGUAGAAGCAGGAUUAGUGUACACAGGUAUUAAAACUAAGACGUAGAUUCUUUAUUGCACUCAUGACUUUCCAGCGUUUCAACUACGAGACUUUACAAAAUAUAUUUGAAUAUUCAGUUGUGCAACAUCAAAAGUUAUCAUUGCUUCUAGCACAUCUGUUGUAGGACAUGAAUUGUGGCUGUCUACUAUUUCUAUACAUAUUUUCAACAUCAUCACCUAAGAAGUCUUCCUGGGCAUAGAUUGGAGGCAUUUCUAAAUAUUACCAAUUCGUUAAGGUUUUCAAUCGCACAUUUCUCAGUUAAAACGUGCAGUUCGAUAGAUGUGUACUAUGGGUAUUGAACAAGUGUAAAAUUAUCUUCUAUUGUGUACCAGUCA